GUAGUCAUAUGCUUGUCUCAAAGAUUAAGCCAUGCAUGUCUAAGUAUAAGCACUUUAUACUGUGAAACUGCGAAUGGCUCAUUAAAUCAGUUAUCGUUUAUUUGAUAGUACCUUACUACAUGGAUACCUGUGGUAAUUCUAGAGCUAAUACAUGCUGAAAACCUCGACUUCGGAAGGGGUGUAUUUAUUAGAUAAAAAACCAAUGCCCUUCGGGGCUCCUUGGUGAAUCAUAAUAACUUAACGAAUCGCAUGGCCUUGCGCCGGCGAUGGUUCAUUCAAAUUUCUGCCCUAUCAACUUUCGAUGGUAGGAUAGUGGCCUACCAUGGUGGCAACGGGUAACGGGGAAU
rnacentral:rRNA from 2 species